GACUGACUAGGGCCGUGGGCUGGCUGAGGUUAGUACGGAAGACUUCACUAGAACGUCGAUGUGGAAUUUCGUUUCGUUUAGCUAAACCAUUGGUAAACCUCACCUACUUCAUUUUCGGUUAGUGCUAUAUACCUACCUGAUAAAAAGGAAGGCAACAUUGUGUACAGUGUCUGCCGCGUGCGUACACUACCACUGGGAAAUUCCUAAAGACAAAUAUAAAAUCAAAUCAAAGGGUCACGAUGGAGCACGUGCCAUUCCCGGGCCCGUUCUCGCCGCCGGGACACUUUGGCGGCCGUUCGCCCUUCAUCAAUCCGAUGUGCGGCCACUGGUCAUGUCCGCUGACCGUAUCACAUCACCACUGCAGCCAGUGCGGCUACGGCAGCGCCGAGAUGAGCCAGCUGAGGGUGCACUCGUGCCGGCGACCGUACGGCGUGGACCUGCCGCCCCCUCCUCCGCCGCCGCCGCCGCCGCCGCCCACGUUCUACCAGCCGGGGCCGCCCUCGGGCUACUACCGACCACCGCCAGAUGACAGGGGUAGGACAGCCUGGUUAUGCCUCUGUACUGGGGA